CCCUAGCCCUGAUUGCAGUGGAAAUCCUUUUUUGAAAAAAAAGAUUGCAACGAAAAGCGGGAAACAGC
rnacentral:sRNA from 1 species